AUUGAACGCUGGCGGCAGGCUUAACACAUGCAAGUCGAACGAGUGGCGGACGGGUGAGUAAUGCCUGGGAAUCUAGCUUAUGGAGGGGGAUAACUACGGGAAACUGUAGCUAAUACCGCGUACCAUAGGAUGAGCCCAUGUGGGAUUAGGUAGUGGGUGAGGUAAAGGCUCACCAAGCGGAGGAUCGCUAGCUGGUCUGAGAGGAUGACCAGCCACACUGGGACGGGGACACGGCCCAGAAUCCUACGGGAGGCAGCAGUGGGGAAUAUUGCGCAAUGGGGGCAACCUGACGCAGCCAUGCCGCGGGAAUGAAGAAGGCCUUCGGGUUGUAAAGUUCUUUCGGUAGCGAGGCGUUAACUACAGAAGAAGCACCGGCUAACUCCGUGCCAGCAGCCGCGGUAAUAC
rnacentral:rRNA from 1 species